rnacentral:rRNA from 1 species
AUUGAACGCUGGCGGCAGGCCUAACACAUGCAAGUCGAGCGAGCGGCGGACGGGUGAGUAAUGUAUGGGGACUGCCCGAUAGAGGGGGAUAACUACUGGAAACGGUGGCUAAUACCGCAUACUAUCGGAUAACCCAUAUGGGAUUAGCUAGUAGGGGGGGUAAAGGCUCACCUAGGCGACGAGCUCUAGCUGGUCUGAGAGGAUGAUAAGCCACAAUGAGACGGAGACACGGCCCAGACUCCUAAGGAGGCAGCGGUGGGGAAUAUUGCACAAUGGGCGCAAGCCUGAUGCAGCCAUGCCGCGUGUAUGAAGAAGGCCUUGGGGUUGGAAAGUACUUGCAGCGGGGAGUCGUUACCCGCAGAAGAAGCACCGGCUAACUCCGUGCCAGCAGCCGCGGUAAUUC